CACUCUUUCUCCCCGAUUCUAUCACAGAGGCAUCGCUGUCAGCAGAUGUCGUGUGUGGAUGUUUAGACGUUGUUGCAUCUGAACAUGUGUUCGAGUCUCUCCACCAGCCACCUGAUUCUUCUGAUCUCCCUGAGUGUGAUGAUGCUCAUCUCUGUAUCAGGGGCUGACCAUGUGGGGAUACCCUGCUAUAAAAGAUAUAAUAACAAUGGUGUAGUAAACACGUCUACACCUAAAUGGGCCAAGAACAUCAUCAGCUGCUUUGAAGACGACAGACAUGACUGCCUGCCUGGCUAUAAGGUGCAAACAAGCAGAAAAUAAAUGAGGGAACUCUGCUGUGUCCUCCACUGAUUUCUAAAUGAAGAUAAUGGAAACGAUGAAACAAAGUUGAAGUAAAGCAGCAACUGGAACCAUUUCUGCUGAUUUAUUAGUUCAAACUUUUACAGAAAUAUUUGUUAAGAAAUUUUGAUUAUUUUUCGUUAAU